ACUCCUACGGGAGGCAGCAGUGGGGAAUUUUGGACAAUGGGGGAAACCCUGAUCCAGCCAUCCCGCGUGUGCGAUGAAGGCCUUCGGGUUGUAAAGCACUUUUGGUCAGGAAAGAAACUGUCUAUGGGCUAAUACACCGUGAAACUGACGGUACCUGCAG
rnacentral:rRNA from 1 species